GUGGGGAAUCUUCCGCAAUGGACGAAAGUCUGACGGAGCAACGCCGCGUGAGUGAUGAAGGUCUUCGGAUUGUAAAGCUCUGUUAAUCGGGACGAAAGAGCCUAGUGUGAAUAAUGCUAGGAAGUGACGGUACCGGAAUAGAAAGCCACGGCUAACUACGUGCCAGCAGCCGCGGUAAUACGUAGGUGGCAAGCGUUGUCCGGAAUUAUUGGGCGUAAAGUGCGCGCAGGCGGAUCUGCCAGUCUGUCUUAAAAGUUCGGGGCUUAACCCCGUGAUGGGAUGGAAACUACAGAUCUAGAGUAUCGGAGAGGAAAGUGGAAUUCCUAGUGUAGCGGUGAAAUGCGUAGAUAUUAGGAAGAACACCAGUGGCGAAGGCGACUUUCUGGACGAAAACUGACGCUGAGGCGCGAAAGCCAGGGGAGCGAACGGGAUUAGAUACCCCGGUAGUCC
rnacentral:rRNA from 1 species